UAGGGAAUCUUCGGCAAUGGGGGGAACCCUGACCGAGCAACGCCGCGUGAGUGAAGAAGGUUUUCGGAUCGUAAAGCUCUGUUGUUAAGGAAGAACGAGUGUGAGAAUGGAAAGUUCAUGCUGUGCCGGUACUUAACCAGAAAGGGACGGCUAACUACGUGCCAGAAGCCGCGGUAAUACGUAGGUCCCGAGCGUUGUCCGGAUUUCUUGGGCGUAAAGCGAGCGCAGGCGGUUAGAAAAGUCUGAAGUGAAAGGCAGUGGCUCAACCAUUGUACGCUUUGGACACUGUUUAACUUGAGUGCAGAAGGGGAGAGUGGAAUUCCAUGUGUAGCGGUGAAAUGCGUAGAUAUAUGGAGGAACACCGGUGGCGAAAGCGGCUCUCUGGUCUGUAACUGACGCUGAGGCUCGAAAGCGUGGGGAGCCAACAGG
rnacentral:rRNA from 1 species